UGAUACUCGAAGGUUUUUUAAAUUUUUUUAUUUUUAAUAUCCGUAGUUAAUUUUGAGUUUUGAUAUUUCGGUACUUAAAUUUUAAUUUUUUCACGUUUUAGUUUUUUAAGAACUGAAAAGUAAAAGAAAAAAAUCAUUGAAAAGAAAAGGAAAAAAAAGUUUUGAUCAACUAUAUUUUAAAUAUAAAAUAAUAAUUUUGGUAUUUAUAGGUUUGUGUUGAAUAGAAAAGUUUGAUGUAGGUUAUUUAAGCCCUCAUUCAUGUUGGAACUUGAAUUUGGGCCUGAAAAUGUUUUUUAUUUUAAGUUUAAUUUUAUAUUUUUAGACCGAUCAAAAGAUAUUUAAUGUUUAAAAUGGAGUUAUUGCUGCAUCCUCGUCCAAAGGUUUUUGUUGAAGUUGUUCCAAUUGUAUUUUUCUUUCGCAUCCUUUUCAGGCAUCAACUUGUGGCCUGGAAAACAAAUACACUGUCACAACUAUCGCACUCCUGAGCCCUUCCGGAAUCGAGUUGUGGUUUUGAUAGGCAGUUCCAUGAGUGCUGCUGAUUUAUCUAUUGAGAUUGCUGAGGUAGCCAGAGAGGUCCACAUUGCAUCCAGAUCAGUGGCUGAUGAAACCUACGAAAAACAGCCGGGGCAUGACAAUCUGUGGCUUCAUUCUAUGGUGGAAAGCGCCAGUGGAGAUGGUACCGUGGUUUUCCGAUUUGGCAGUGCUGUCGUUGCUGACAUUAUUCUGCAUUGCACUGGCCACAGAUUGUGACUGUGGAUGACAAUCGUAUGGGACCACUUUACAAGCAUGUUUUUCCUCCCAUCUUUGGCUCCAGGGCUAUCCUUUGUUGGUAUACCAUGGAAGGCUGUCCCUUUUCCAAUGUCUGAGUUUCAGAGCAAGUGGAUUGCUGGUGUGUUAUCAGGUCGAUUUGUGCUUCCAUCACCAGAACACAUGAUGGACGAUGUUAAGGCCUUCUAUUCUACACUUGAAGGUGAAGCUUCUGGCAUUCCUAAACAUUACACUCGUAAGAUGUUAGAUUCUGGGGGGUACUAAGCCAAGCCUCAUGUUUGUUUGUCUGCUUUUUUUUUCCCUGACAAAUUAAUUUCCAUAUUUUAAAAUAUAAAUUUCAGGAGCGAUAAACAUCCACUUCAUUUUCCUAGAAGUUCGUUUAUCACCUGCUUAUAUUACAGUCUAAGCUAGCGUUUUGUUACUCUUGUGGACAGUACAGAUAAAUACAAUAUAAACAUAAAUGUGUUUGGUUAAUAAGAUAGAAGAUAAAAAGAUAAAAAUAAAUAUGUAUUUAGAAUAAUUUUAAAGUAAUUUUUUAUAUUUUUAAAAUAAAAGGUACAAAAGAAAUAUGUUUUUAUAAAUGAUAUUUUUUAUUUUUUAUUCCGAAAAUAUUCUUGUAAAAAACUUUUAAUUUUAAAAUUAUCCAACUAAAAUAUGUAAGAAUAAAAAUAAUAAUUAUUAUAAUUUUAAAACUCAACUUGAGGGUUGAUCCGGAGCAAAGUUCAGGUCAUUGGUUGAGGCAUGGAUCACAGGUUGGGUUAACUCGAGUUAGCAUAAGAAUAAAAAUGAUUAUUAUUAUAAUCUUAAAACUCAAUUCGAGGAUCAACAUGAGACAAUGUUAGGUUAUGAGUCGGGUUGACCAUUGACCGGGGUCAAUAUAGGAACAAAAAUGGUUAUGAUUAUAUUUUUAAAAACCUACUCAAGAUAAGGCCCUAGUCACGUAUCAAGAGGGUCAACAUCAAAUAAAAAUAAUUUUUAUCAUAAUUUUAAAACUUGAUUUGGGGUUCAACUCGGGGCAAGGCUUGGGUUAUGGAUCAAGAGGGUCAACCCGGAUCAAUAUAAGAAUAAAAAUUGUUAUUAUCAUAGUGUAAAAAACUGACAUGAAAUCGACCAGAAUAAAACUCAGAUGAACAAGAUCCAGGUCACGGGUUGGAAGAGUCAACACGAAUUGAUCCGAGUUAACAUAUAAAUAAAAAUAGUUAUUAUAAUAAUUUUAAAAAUUAACACAUUUUAAUCUAAUUUUUUUUAUCAAAUUAUUAAAAAAAAACGAUGAAACAGUAGAUCCAUCUACCUACUUUCUUAGGUCUCUCUUAAUUUUAUUUUUUUAUGAUAUCGAGUGAGGCUUGUCGUAUAAAAAAAAAAGAAAAAUUCUUCGUCGUAUCUAAAAAAACACCAUUUCAUUUUUUUAUACUUAUUUAAAUUAUUUAGAUACACUUGUCUUCUCCUUUUGUUUUCUUUGCCGUAUCUUUCUUUCUUUGUUGUUUUUUUCAGAAAUGGCAAGUGCAUCCGGGUCCAGUAGUCCUUCAGCUCCAAGCCUCGGAAGGAAGAUUGUGCCUUCAACAGGGGUUAUUGGAUCUGGGUUUUGGUCCAUCAAAGGAAUCUCAAGGAGAGUGGUGUGUUCCAGCACCAUUGAAGGUUCAGAGAAGAUUUCCCCUUCUCAAUCUGGAUUGCCCAGCUAAAUGCAUGUCUACAAUUACCAAGCUUCAACAGCACUUAGGCUGGAGAGAAAAAACCUUGUAUCCUGCACAGCGAUGGAGAAGGUCUAAGAUAUUUAAAUACCUCCAUCGAAGAUAAUGAAGUUGAUCAUGCAUUGGGUUCUAACGGCUCAGUUUUAGACUUUCCUCCUAAACGUCAUGCCAUCAUUUCCUGCCUUCAAAUGAAUGGAAAAGAGGUUUUCCGCUUUGCUGUUAGAUGUGUGCCCCAGUCUAUCGAGCGUGCUCUUGAAAAGGCCGGUCUCACUGGGUCAAGCAUUGACUGGCCACUGAUCCACCAGGCAUGAGAUAUUUUAUUGGCCCUAUUAACUUUUGAAAGGCAAAUCAAAGGAUCAUUGAUGCAGUUGCAACAUGCUUAGAAGUCCCGCCAGAAAGGAUCAUAUCAAAUGUGGCAAAUUAUGGUAACACAAGUGCUGCUUCCAUUCCAUUGGCUUUGGAUGAAGCCGUCAGAAGUGAGAAGGUGAAGC